rnacentral:rRNA from 1 species
GACGAACGCUGGCGGCGUGCUUAACACAUGCAAGUCGAACGGCAAGGCCCUGCUUUUGUGGGCUUCUCGAUUGGCGAACGGGUAAGUAAGACGUAAGUAACCUGACCUUCACUUUCGGGUAACUUAAGGAAACUGGGGUUAAUACCAGAUAGGAUAUCCUGCUCCAUGGUGGGGGUUGGAACUUUUCGGCGGUUGGGGCUGAAUUCGCGGCUUAUGAGCUUGUUGGUGGGGUAGUGGCUUACCAAGGCUUUGACGGGUAGGCGGCCUGUGUGGGGGACCGGCGUCAUUGGGCCUGAGAUACGGCCCAGAGUCCUACGGUAGGCAACAGUGGGGAACAUGGCACAAUGGGCGGAAGUCUGAUGCAGCAACGCCGCGGGUGGGAUGACGGUUUUUGGGUUGAAAACCGCUUUCGCCUGUGACGAAGCGGUAGUGACGGUAAUGGGUAAAGAAGCACCGGCUAACUACGUG